CCACCAACACCUUCCCCUAUGAACAUCUCCUUCCUCUACUCUAACCCCCUCCCCCCAAAUCAAUUACAAAAAUUGGUGAAAAUUCAUUAAUAGGAGUUAUUAAAGGCCUUGCAUGACUAUUCUCAUCAAUUUUCACAAUUCUUCUUCGGUUUUACUAUCGCCGAUAUCACUAUUCCGAUUAAUAUUUCGCCGAAUUUUUUUACAAAGUGUUGUUAGCCCUUGGUUCCUUCUCAUUUUACAAAAAAUUAAUUUUUUGUUAUAUUUCCUUCUGAGAUAGAUCCCGAAUCCCUUGAAACUGGAUUAGCCAUUGCUCCAAGUUUUACUGCCACCAAAAGCUCGCCGGAGUGAUUUGUGGGAUUGGGCAAAUUACAAACCUUCUCUACGCAUAAACAAAAAAGAUCCCGCAUGGCUAUUUCGACCAACCCAUGUACUUCUUUUCUCAAUUUCGCAUUCGCCGGUGUCCUAAUUUUUCCAGUUUUCCUUAGCGAUCUAUUUGCACCUUAUAGCAAAAGGGUGCUCUAGAUGCUAAUGGUUGAAAAUAAUAUUUAAAUUAGCAGUGACGAAAUAGGUGGUAAUGAUGAUUUUGAAUGUGGUGUUUGAGUAAGAGAAUUUUUCUGGAGAAGAUAGAAGGAAUGAGAUAGAGAUGACGACGGAGAAAGGGGGUUCUGGAAAUUCCUUUUUUCUUAUUUUGUUUUUAAUUUUAUCUUUUGCUUUUAUUUUAUUUUAUUUAUUAUUUGUAAUUUUAGUAUUUUUCUCUCUCAUAUUCAUUGUAUACACGCGAU
rnacentral:lncRNA from 1 species